CAGUUUUCCUCUGCACCAUGUUCAGCCAGAAGUAGUUGUUUUCCAUUUGUGUACAGUGUAUCAAAAUGCAUUCUACUGUCAUGUAUAACUAAUUAGAACAAAAUAAAUAUAAAUCCUUCCAACUCUAAAAUUUUAAACAUCUAUAAUCAGAUAAUAUUACAUGCAGAAAAUUAUAUAUUUCUAGCAUUCUAUUUCAUUUAUAAGGAGAUAAAAAUAUUUGUAUUUGCAAAAGAAAUGCCAGAGUACACACAAGAAACUAAAUGGUUGCCUAAGCCAGGUGUGGUGGUUUGUGCCUAUAAUCCCAGCAGCUACUUAGGAGCAGAAGGCAGGAGGAUCUCAAGUUCAAGACUAACCUGGGUAAUUUAGCAAAGACUGUCUCAAAAAAGGGUUUGGAUGUAGCUCAUCUAUAGAGCACUUGCCUAGCAUGUGUGAAACCCCGGGUUCAAUCACAGUACUAAGGAAGGAAAAAAAAAAAAAAAGUUUGCCAAUAACAGAUGUUGGGGAAAAGUUUGGAUGGAAACUGGAUGAGAGUACAACUUUUGCAUAUUAGUGUUUUAAUUUUUUUAACCAGGUAUUGAAUCCAGAGGCACUUAACCACUGAGUCACAUCCCCAGCCCUUUUUUAUAAAUUUUAUUCAGAGACAGGAUCUCACUAAGUUGCUAAGGCUGCCGUUAAACUCACAAUCCUCCUGCCUCAGCCUCCUGAGCCUCUGGGAUUGCAGGUGUGUACCACUGCACCCAGCAUAAUUUUAUUUUUAAAUCUUGUGAAUGUAGUAACUUCUGGGGGAAAAAGUUUUAAUUAUAUAUUCUUUUACUUCAUAGUAAAUUUGUCCCGGGUGCCACGGGAAGCAAUGCCUUUAUGCUGGUACAGAACUUAGAAAUGAUCAUCUAUAAUUUAAGCAUUUAUACACCUUACAUUGCUCAAAUGUUUUAUUUUAUUCUAACUUUUUACUUUAUUCAAGUGCAAAGUCAUUCACUUUAAAUUAGCCUGAUUAGCCUGAGCUAUGUCACAAAGAACAGGUUGUUGUUUAAAUGAGAUGCCAAUUCUUUCUGGAUUCUGAAUUAUUCAGAUAUUGGAGUAGUGUUAAGCAGAAUGAUAUGGUAUUGAUAAAAUUAUCUUUGAAUUAUAGUUUUUAAAAUGUGUCUUGCCCCCAGUAGCAAUGAGCAUACCUAGCCCCAGAUCAUGGUUUCUAAUAUCACUCUCUUAAUAAAAGAAACUAGGGUUCCUCCAGUCUUCUAAGACUGGAGCUGAAAACUUGCAAAAUGAAGAACAUCUUGAAUUGUUGGAAAGUAAAGAAAUGCUUUAAAAAAAAAAAAAACACCUUAUGAUAAUGAAGUCAAAGGAAACAGGGGCUGAGAGUGCUCCCAAACCCCAAAAUAAUUUGAGGAAAAAAAAAAAGAUUAUCAGCCAAAGGAUAAUAAGAUCCAUGAGUUCAUAAUAUUAAUGUGAUCAAAUUGAGGAGAAGAGACAAGUCUCUCAUGGAGAAGAAUUAUAAUAAUUCAAUACUUCUGAAGGAUAGAUGCUCCACUCUCUAGGAAAGAAAGCAUUAACUCCCCAUCCCUUAAAAGUGAGCUGCAGGGCUUAGUGGUGCACACCUGUAAUCCCAGCAGCCAGAAGGCUGAGGCGGGAGGAUUGCAAGUUCAAAGUCAACCUCAGCAAAAGUGAGGCACUAGGCACCUCAGUGAGACCUUGUAUCUAAAUAAAAUACAAAAAGGGCUGGGGAUGUGGCUCAGUGGUUAAAUGCCCCUGAGUGUAAUUCCCGGUACCAAAAAAGGAAAAAGAAAAAGUGGGCUGCACAGAGGGACUUCCCUUCUAAAGAGUUCAAAACAGGGGAAAAAGUAACUUCAUAACAGAGAAGCCUAAAAAACACCAUCAGCCAGCUGAUUACGGUAAGGUCAGCAUCAAUACUGAUGAAUUAUGUUGACAAUAGAUACCCCAGAAACAAUAUGAAAAUAUCAUAUCACAUACAAAACACUUUGCCUCCUCUUCCCCCAAACCACAGUCUACCCAUGAGAAAAGCAAAAGACAAAUUCCAAUAGCGGGUCACACUAUAAAAUAACCUGGCUAGUACUCAAAAUGGUCAAAGUCAUCAAAAAUAAGAAAAGACUCUCAAACUGACACAAUCCAGAGAAGU
rnacentral:lncRNA from 1 species